UCUCCGUUGGUGAACCAGCGGAGGGAUCAUUACCGAGUUCUAUCAACUCCCAACCCUUGCGAACCGUACCCUAGUCUGUUCUCGUUGCUCCCGGCAGGCGGUGGGGGCUACCUGACCCCUCCCCCUGCCGGGGGCGCCGGGCCCCCCGCGCCUAAAAUCUCGACCACAGAAAUCGGUCUGAGGGAAACAAAAAAGAAGCAAAACUUUCAACAACGGAUCUCUUGGCUCUG
rnacentral:misc_RNA from 1 species